GACCAGACUCCUACGGGAGGCAGCAGUGGGGAAUAUUGGGCAAUGGACGCAAGUCUGACCCAGCAACGCCGCGUGAAGGAAGAAGGCUUUCGGGUUGUAAACUUCUUUUAAGGGGGAAGAGGAGAAGACGGUACCCCUUGAAUAAGCCACGGCUAACUACGUGCCAGCAGCCGCGGUAAUACGUAGGUGGCAAGCGUUGUCCGGAUUUACUGGGUGUAAAGGGCGUGCAGCCGGGCCGACAAGUCAGAUGUGAAAUCCGCGGGCUUAACCCGCGAACUGCAUUUGAAACUGUUGAUCUUGAGUACUGGAGGGGCAGACGGAAUUCCUAGUGUAGCGGUGAAAUGCGUAGAUAUUAGGAGGAACACCAGUGGCGAAGGCGGUCUGCUGGACAGCAACUGACGGUGAGGCGCGAAAGCGUGGGGAGCAAACAGGAUUAGAUACCCCUGUAC
rnacentral:rRNA from 1 species